CGGAGGAUCCGAGCGUUAUCCGGAUUUAUUGGGUUUAAAGGGUGCGCAGGCGGGAGAUUAAGUCGGCGGUGAAAUUUUGCAGCUCAACUGUAAAAGUGCCUUCGAAACUGGUUUCCUUGAGUGUAGAUGAAGUAGGCGGAAUUUGUGGUGUAGCGGUGAAAUGCAUAGAUAUCACGAGGAACUCCGAUUGCGCAGGCAGCUUACUAAACUACUACUGACGCUCAGGCACGAAGGCGUGGGGAUCAAACAGGAUUAGAUACCCUGGUA
rnacentral:rRNA from 1 species